GCGAGCAGCCGCGCUCUUGGUCCGGCUCCGCGCGUCUUUUACCCGCAGUCUUUGCUGCGUCCGCAGUCGCCGCCGCUCACGCUCCCGUUCCGGUCUGUGGUGCAGCCGGACCAGCACCAUGUCGCUGUCUCGCUCGGAGGAGAUGCACCGGCUCACGGAAAAUGUCUACAAGACCAUCAUGGAGCAGUUCAACCCCAGCCUGCGGAACUUCAUUGCCAUGGGGAAGAACUACGAGAAGGCGCUGGCAGGUGUGACGUAUGCGGCCAAAGGCUAUUUCGACGCCCUCGUGAAGAUGGGCGAGCUGGCGAGCGAGAGCCAGGGCUCCAAAGAACUGGGGGACGUGCUCUUCCAGAUGGCCGAGGUCCACAGGCAGAUUCAGAACCAGCUGGAGGAAAUGCUGAAGUCUUUUCACAACGAGCUGCUCACGCAGCUGGAGCAGAAGGUGGAGCUGGACUCCAGGUACCUGAGCGCUGCGCUGAAGAAGUACCAGACGGAGCAAAGGAGCAAAGGGGAUGCGCUGGACAAGUGCCAGGCCGAGCUGAAGAAGCUCCGCAAGAAGAGCCAGGGCAGCAAGAACCCGCAGAAGUACUCGGACAAGGAGCUGCAGUACAUUGAUGCCAUCAGCAACAAGCAGGGCGAGCUGGAGAGCUACGUGUCCGACGGCUACAAGACAGCUCUCACGGAGGAGAGGAGGAGGUUCUGCUUCCUGGUGGAGAAGCAGUGCGCCGUGGCCAAGAACUCCGCCGCCUACCACUCCAAGGGCAAGGAGCUGUUGGCGCAGAAGCUGCCGCUGUGGCAGCAGGCCUGUGCGGACCCCAACAAGAUUCCAGACCGCGCCGUGCAGCUGGUGCAGCAGGUGGCCAGCAGCAAUGGCUCCAUCCUCCCCAGCGGCCUGUCGGCCUCCAAGUCCAACCUGGUCAUCUCAGACCCCAUCCCGGGGGCCAAGCCCCUGCCAGUGCCCCCCGAGCUGGCCCCGUUUGUGGGGCGGCUGUCUGCCCAGGACAGUGCGCCCGUCCUGAACGGUGCGUCGGGCCCGGACAGCGAGGACUACAGCCCCUGGGCCGAGCGCAAGGCCGCCCAGCCCAAGUCCGCGUCUCCUCCGCAGUCGCAGAGCAAGCUGAGCGACUCCUACUCCAACACGCUUCCCGUGCGCAAGAGCGUGGCCCCCAAGAACAGCUACGCCGCCACCGAGAACAAGACCCUGCCCCGCUCGAGCUCCAUGGCGGCCGGCCUGGAGCGCAACGGCCGCAUGCGGGUGAAGGCCAUCUUCUCGCACGCGGCCGGGGACAACAGCACGCUGCUGAGCUUCAAGGAGGGCGACCUCAUCACCCUGCUGGUGCCCGAGGCCCGUGACGGCUGGCACUACGGCGAGAGCGAGAAGACCAAGAUGCGGGGCUGGUUUCCCUUCUCCUACACCCGGGUCCUGGACAGCGACGGCAGCGACAGGUUGCACAUGAGCCUGCAGCAGGGGAAGAGCAGCAGCACUGGCAACCUCCUGGACAAGGAGGACCUGGCCCUCCCGCCCCCCGACUACGGCUCGGCCUCCCGGGCCUUCCCUGCCCAGACGGCUGGCACCUUCAAGCAGAGGCCCUACAGUGUGGCGGUGCCCGCCUUCUCCCAGGGUCUGGAUGACUACGGGGCGCGGGCCGUGAGCAGCGCCGAUGUGGAAGUGGCCAGAUUUUGAGCGGCCCUGACUAGAGUUAGUAAGUGACCCUGGUGGUGUUGUGUUGGUCCGUCUGUGCUCCCAGCAGCUCCAGAGACCCUCUGGCCUCGCCGGAGCCGGGUCCAGGGGUCUGCUGCGCCUGCCUCUGCUCUCAGCUCUGGGCCUCUGCUUCUCUGGACCGCUCUUCUGGCUCUGGGAUUUCCUGUCUGGAAGCUGGCGGGGCUGGCCCGGCUCUCGGUCUGGGUUCCCUCCUGGCUCUGCCGGGUGCCGCGGCCACGAUCGGGUGGAGCUUGGUGAGCUGCUGCGAGGCCGCUUCGGGCUCCUCUGGGUGAGGGCCCUGCAGACCUGUCCCGGGUGGGGCGUGGGUCUGAGCCCGGCCGGCUCCUGGGCUGGUGAGUAUCACAGCCCCUCGGGGGCCGGGGAAGCCAGGGUGGGUCUGGGGACAGCACCACAGGCAUGCCUCUGCCCUGACGUGGCUCCAAGGGGCUAUGGGAGGCUUUUCCCGUCAGGCCCUGGUGACUGUCCCACCCCUACCCCCACCUGGUGAUGGUCCCGUCCCUCCGCCCUCAGAAAGCAAGUGCCACCAGCCGGGGGACUGCCACCCCCUGCCCCGCUCCCAGCCUUGCUCGCAGAGACGUCUGCUGUGUGAAGCUGGCACACGGGCGCUUCACAAGGCGUGGGCAGCCGGCCGCUCCAGCAGGUGCUGGCGCCUCCCUCCCGCUGCCUCCCUCGCUCUCGAGCUGUAGAAUGUUCUGGAAACUGGAGACUAGUGCUCCUGAAGUUGGGCGACAGGGAGGUGACUGGACCCGGGCUCCGUAGGCCUGGCCUGGGCCCCCCUCCCCCCCGCCACUGGCUCUCUGGAGAGACUGGCACCGCCCCCACCCUGCUGUCCUUGUGGUCCCCUCAGAGCUGGAGGGGCCUGGCGUCCUCACCCCGGGAGGGCCUGAACGGCAGUGCUCAGGCAGGUGAGGGCAGAGCCCCGGGGCACAGUGGGCAGGGUCCGCUCAGCCUGGGGGCCUCCAGGCCGCCACAGGGUCUCGCUGUUCUGAUGCCUCUGUGCAGGGGGAGGGUGUCUGGGUGGUGGAGAGGCGCCACUCAGGUUUGAGCUCACAGCCCUGAGACGGGGGCGAGAACACAGGGGACGAGAACACGUCAAGUCCCGAAGGGCUCUGGUCUGAAGCUGUGCGGGACUCAGAAGAGGAGCGUGUUGGGAGAGCUGGAGGCUGGCCGCGCCCCGCUGCUGCUCGGCCCUGCUCCCUGCCGGCCUCGUCCUCAGGACGAUUCAGAAGAGGACCGGAGGCGAUCCUCCCAGAAGCGUGGGGACAGACGUGUCCUGAGCCUGGACCAGAAGGCGGCUCGGCCGCGGGGUCCCCCUCCCGGGGGUCUGCAGAGGACCGGCGGUGGGACGGCCCUUCUGGCGAGAGGCCCAGCCGGCACCUGCCUUCGCCACGCCAGGGAGUCAGGCCGGCCCCACCCGCGGGGGUGAAGCUGUCCCGAGAGCCACCGCUGGAGUCGCGCAGCAGCGAGGGGACAGAACCCGGUCCUGCCUUCCUCUGCCAGCGUGCCCGCACACCGAUGUCUCCAGUCUGGGCCAAGUCAGCUCGUUCUGUGCCGGGGUGGUUCUGUGUGGACGGCCCGGCGUGACCCCUGGGGACGGGACAAACAGCCGUGGUCUCAGGCCGAGCCUCGUCCUGUCGGUCGUUCCAGCGUGGACCUCAGCCCUCCGCCCAGGUAGCUCCUGAGCCUGAUCUCGCACCCAGCACUCCUGAGGCGGUGGGCACUUGAGGGGCUGCGCCCUUCCUCUGGUGCCGAGGGGUGGGCGUGCCCCACCCAGGGGGUCUCCGCCGGGCCUGCGGGGGCAGGAGGCAGGGGGGAGGUGGCUCCAGCUUCCUCAGAGCCCGUGGUGUGAUGGCAUCGGCUUCCCUGGUCACACUGCUUUCCGGGGACAGACGAAGGUGGGGGUCAGGGGUCAGGCACCCCCCGGGGAGAGGCUUCGGUCCAGGCGACAGCAGGGCUUUGCCACCGACCCUGACGGACAAAGCUGCCAGGUUUCUGGCCCCUAAGACCCUCGGCCCUGCGCGUGGCUGACGACAGCCGGGCCAAGGAGUCCGCCUCCAGAGCCGGAGUCCACUCGUGGCCGCCCCACACCCGUGUCCCAGGCGGACAGCGCGGAACCUCAGCUUCAGAAGCUCCCGGAGGCCCUGCCUGCGGCCAGCAGGGCCGAAGCGCAUCUGGACAGACUGGAGCCACGAGGCCGAGCGAGGGCCUGAGGCCCCGCCGCCGCCAGGACUUUUGAUGGGGCGGCGACGCCCGCGCAGCGGUGGACCGUGUGGGGCCUUGUCCUGGAGGCGCCGGGUUUAUCCUGAAGGAAACAGUCCAAAGCCACGUGGCGCCUCCGAGACACCAAGUCCCCAGGCUCCCCCGGGGGCGCCGCCCCUGCUCUCCCCAGGACCUGGAAGGAGCGCCCACCCCCCUGCCCGGUUCUGGGGUCGCCCGGCUGUGCCCAGAAAUCCUUUCGCCAACAUCCAACUGAAGCCGACGGUGACCAACGACAGGUCUGCCCCCCUCCUCAGCUGACGGCCACCUCUGCACCUGCUGCCCGUGGGCCCUCCCCCCCCCCCGACUGUACCCUGUUUCGUUACCACCUGCCUGGUCCCGUCUAGGGAAUUCUCUCUUUCCAGAGCCUCUGCCCCACAGCGGUCUGGCCUGGGCUGGCCCCCAGCUGCUCCCACAGGGUCAGGAGGUGGCACCCAGGUCGUGGCCGAGGAGAGGGAGGGGGCUGGCCCCCAAGCCCAGCCUUUCCGAUAAGGCCCAUCAGAUUGUGUGGGCCGGGGAGCCCCUGGGUGCAGGAAGGCCAGCCCGUUGGCUUGUAGCUGGAAGGGGAGCCCCCUUCGGGUCAAUAAAGAGGCCGUCUGUGCCCAGGUCUGUCGGUCUGCAGGCAGGACACGGGCACAGGGAGGCAGGGCCUGUCCCCUCCUUUGGAGGGUGGGUUUAUUACCAACACCUCCGGGCAGACCCUUGACCAGGGCUGCGGGGCCUCCGCCUCCUGCUAGCAGUCCGGGCUGACCCCCGCCCAGGCCCUGCCUCUCCCUAGGACAGCGCUCCUCCCUGUCCCCAGGGAGGCUCUUUGGAACUGUGGCCUCAGUCCCCGAGCUGGGUGCCACGGAGGGGGUUUUGUGCCAGGAUUCCUGCCCUUGAAGUUUCCACAUUUCAGCUUAAAUACAAGAUCUUAUAAAUC